ACCAUCUGCACCUGUGUUGGUGCCUGUGCAAGCAGGUGAAAAGGGAAUCUGCAACCGGGAGCUUUUCCGGUCAAGCAAAGCCGCCCCCGCGACCGUGAACGGAAACAAGGCGUGUCACCGCCACUGGCCUAUGGCUGGGAAGGCAGACGCACCGCAGGGCACCGCCCGUAAAUCCGUGAGCCGGGAGACCUGCCAGCACAGAUUGCCACGA
rnacentral:ncRNA from 2 species